UGUGUUUAUCAGACUGUCCAGCUCUCAGAGCGUCAGUAUUCAGAUCAGCGGCUCUCGCACGCUGCUGGUGGUCGCUAACGUCACAGAGAACGAUUACGGAAACUACACGUGUGUCGCCACCAACAGACUGGGAAUCCACAACGCCAGCGUGUUCCUCUACAAACCUGGCACUGGGCGGGACAUCAACGCCUCAGGCUGCGUCUGUCAAUCAUUCUGGCUCCUCCUCCUGUCUGUUCUCUCGGCUCUUCUGAAGUGUUAAUGUUCAUCGCAGACGCUCUGAAUGCGAUCGAUCGUCUCAGACUGUUUCCAUCCGUCCAUCCACGCUCACCAUUACGCCCCGGCACGACAACCGUCUUAUUAUCAGGAAAAAAUAUGACAUGGAGAAAAGAAAGAAGGUGCUCUUUUUAAGACAAGAAUAUUGCCGUUUAACCGGUUCAAGCACUUAAUUCCAGUGAUGCCCGUCUGUCCGACAGUCUGAGUGCAUGUGUGUGAUUUACCACAGAAACCCAGAGCGAAAUCAUCUAGAAAAAUGGUUCAUUUCAUUGUGUUUUCCCAUAAUACCCUGCAGCCUGUUCCGGAAUCUGCCUAAUGUAAACUAAUGAAGGAGCGCUAGAAUCACGUAAGGUCAUUUAGAUGUGGUUUAGGACUAAUGACUAGCAGAAGGGCCUGAAACACAGUAUUUUCUGCUGAAUCUUCAGGCUGCUGCUACGUCGUUCAUGAAGAUUCUCUGAGAUCAGAACAAUCAUGCGAUGUUCGAGACACUCACGACAGUGUUUGUGAUGAUCGAUCAGAGAAUCUGUUCACAGAGGCAGAACAGACCCACCCCCGUAAACCCCUCCCACAUGUGUAGCCCCACCCACUUGAUGCUAAACCCCUCCCACAUGUGUAGCCCCACCCACGUAAUACUAAACCCCUCCCACACCAGGCGGAUCUGCAGGUGUUUCUUCAGGGCUCCUGUGAAAACCUGGAUUAUUGUGAAAAACAAUUCUUCUGGAGGGAAACCUGUAGAAUGCUGUGGAAUGAUUUUUACCGUGUUAAAACGUGUGAGAUUAGUCCAAAAACACGCGUGACCCUCGUCUUCUACGUGUCUGUGAAAUCAUAUGAACUCUGAAUUGUACGACACCAAUGAAUGCUUGGCUUCGAUCCGCUGCUCAUCCCGUCGCGUCUGUCGUCUGUAAAUAUUCUUUUGAAUCGAAUGUCCUCACAUGGAGACGAAACGAAUCUUCGGUUCAGGUCUCUUCAUAAGUAGUUAGUUAUCUGCGGUGGCGCUUUGAUGCUUCCUGUAACAAACUGAAAUUAGAUACUAAACAAAGAUUUUUAAUACAAAUAUUUAAAUAUCUCGUUCUAAAACUAGAUUUACCUUUGUAGUGCUGCACUACUAUUCUUAUUUAUAGAGACUGAUUUCUGUUCGUUAGUUAUUAUAAUAGUAGUUGGACAGAGAUGAGCUGAAUCCACUGACUGCCAAACGAUUACAGAAAACGAUA